rnacentral:rRNA from 3 species
GGACUACCCGGGUAUCUAAUCCCGUUCGCUCCCCUGGCUUUCGCGUCUCAGCGUCAGCGGAGGUCCAGGCGCCCGCUUUCGCCACGGGCGUUCCUCACGAUCUCAACGCAUUUCACCGCUCCACCGUGAGUUCCGGCGCCCCCUACCUCGCUCCAGGCCGGUCGUAUCGGCGCCCGUUCCCCGGUUGAGCCGGGGGAUUUCAGCGGCCGACGUGCCGGCCCGCCUACACGCGCUUUAAGCCCAGUGAUUCCGAAUAACGUUCGCACGGUUCGUCUUACCGCGGCUGCUGGCAC